UAAUAACUUUAGUUAUGCAAAAGAUGAUACAUAUAAAAGUUAGGAUUAAUUGCAUACAUGUCUCUGUAAACAUAGUAGAUUGUAAAUAUAUUAUUCGUGUAAAGUUCAACUUUCAUAAGUUAUCCCUACAAAAAUUUUAAUGUUUUCGGAUAUGUCCCUGCCGUUAGAAACCAUUAGAAAAGCUUAGUUAACCAUAGAUUAAAUAUUUUACCCUAAUUAAUUUUUGACAUUUUUACCCCUCUUAUAUUAUAUUGUUACGAUUUUUAGAGGGAUAUAUUUGUAAUAGCAAAAUUGAAAAUAUAAACAGUUUUCUAACGAUAAUAAAUCAGAGGGGUAUAAAUGAAAAUAUUAGAAUUUUUAUAGAAAUAACUUAUGAAAGUUGAACUUUACAGAAAUAUAUUUGUAAUUUACUAUAUUUGCAGGAACCUGUACGCAAUUAACCCUAAAAAAAGUUAAUACCGUU
rnacentral:lncRNA from 1 species